UACGUAGGGUGCAGGCGUUAAUCGGAAUUACUGGGCGUAAAGCGUGCGCAGGCGGCUCCUUAAGUCAGAUGUGAAAUCCCCGGGCUUAACCUGGGAACUGCGUUUGAAACUGGGGAGCUGGAGUGUAGAAGAGGGGGGGUGGAAUUCCAGGUGUAGCAGUGAAAUGCGUAGAGAUCUGGAGGAACACCGAUGGCGAAGGCAGCCCCCUGGGCUAACACUGACGCUCAUGCACGAAAGCGUGGGGAGCAAACAGG
rnacentral:rRNA from 1 species